CAGAUGAUGGUGUGCAAUAUCAAAGCCAAAUGAGAUGGCUGCCAAUUAGGGAGGGCUUCCAAGUGCAUUUCAAUGCAAACGCGCACUGCUUUUGCAGCUGGGCUGCCCUGCCUCACUUGGAUGCAUCAACAAAGCUUGAAGUGGCCACUCUAAUCUGGAAACUCUGUUUGGGCCAUGCAUACAGGAACUGCUGACACGGAAAGAUUUAGCUAUGAUUGCAUAUCAUUACAUGAAUAAAAU